rnacentral:rRNA from 1 species
GACGAACGCUGGCGGCGUGCUUAACACAUGCAAGUCGAACGGAAAGGCCCUGCUUUUGUGGGGUGCUCGAGUGGCGAACGGGUGAGUAACACGUGAGUAACCUGCCCUUGACUUUGGGAUAACUUCAGGAAACUGGGGCUAAUACCGGAUAGGAGCUCCUGCUGCAUGGUGGGGGUUGGAAAGUUUCGGCGGUUGGGGAUGGACUCGCGGCUUAUCAGCUUGUUGGUGGGGUAGUGGCUUACCAAGGCUUUGACGGGUAGCCGGCCUGAGAGGGUGACCGGCCACAGUGGGACUGAGAUACGGCCCGGACUCCUACGGGAGGCAGCAGUGGGGAAUAGUGCACAAUGGGCGGAAGCCUGAUGCAGCAACGCCGCGUGCGGGAGGACGGCCUUCGGGGUGUAAACCGCUUUCGCCUGGGACGAAGCGUGAGUGACGGUAAUGGGUAAAGAAGCACCGGCUAACUACGUG